AUACCUACCCGGUGCUGGGGCCUCGCUGAUCUCCGAUGACGAGCCCCUAGGGCGUGGCGCGGGCAUUGUACUGCGCACGCGUUGACCCCUGCCACUACCCCAAACUCGGGCAGAUGUCGCAUGCAAAUUGAUUAAAUCUGGUUCUAGG
rnacentral:snRNA from 1 species